CCUACGGGUGGCAGCAGUAGGGAAUAUUGCUCAAUGGGGGAAACCCUGAAGCAGCAACGCCGCGUGGAGGAUGAAGGUUUUCGGAUUGUAAACUUCUUUUCUGAGGGACGAAGAUAAUGCCGGUAUCUAACGAAUAAGCACCGGCUAACUCCGUGCCAGCAGCCGCGGUAAUACGGAGGUUGCAAGCGUUACGCGGAGUCACUGGGCGUAAGGAGCGCGUAGGCGGGAUAGCACGUCGGAUGUGAAAUCCUAUGGCUUAACCAUAGAACUGCAUUUGAAACUGUUAUUCUAGAGUAUGGGAGAGGUAGGUGGAAUGCGUGGUGUAGGGGUAAAAUGCGUAGAGAUCAAGAGGAAUACUCAUUGCGAAGGCGUCCUGCGAGAACAUGACUGACGCUGAUGCGCGAAAGCGUGGGGAGCAAACAGGAUUAGAUACCCGAGUAGUC
rnacentral:rRNA from 1 species